AUGUUUCAGAUCUCUCUGACUUCCUUUCUGCCACAUCUCUCUGCUGUCUCCCUCUUCUGAGGUGUCUCUUGGAGAAAUGUCUCUGCUUUUAAAGGAGUCAUAUGAAGCCAUUGAGACCCAGGGAAGCUGAUGGCAGAGCUGCUAAGUGACAGCCAGGACAGAGCUGGACUCGAACCCAGGUCCCCAAGCCACAUCUGGACCACGGAACCACACUGUUGCCCAGGGAACAACUCAGCAGGUAGCUAAGAGGAUUCCCCCUUUGCAGCUUGCAGCCAGGAAUGAUCAAACCAUUUCCCACUCCCAACUCAUCUCCACCGAGACUUCUCCUUUGGAAUUUGUCUCCGGCAUCACUUAUCAAAAAGCUCUGCUGAAGUCUUCUUUCUCCCUGACCACUUGGAAUAUGCUUGCCUAAUAAAAUUUCA